GCCCAGUGAUGAGACCAAGGCGAAUAUGAGCCUAUUGAAUUAGAGUCUGAGCUCUCCUGUGUUCCUAUUGGCUGGUAAUCUUGGCUGGGCAGUGAAGAUUUGCUGUCUUGCUGUAAGGGCCUGCCUACAUUCAACAAGCCCUAUUCUUUGAAAUUUCUAUCCUUCAAAGAAAUAGGGAAGAAAAAGGAUGGAGCUUACAUUUUGUGUGUGUGUGUGUGUGUGUGUGAAGGGUCACAGGUUGAGUCUCGGUUCUCUGCAGUAAUUCUUUGGGCAUUGAGGUCUCUCUUUGGUAAUCUGAGGGCA